ensembl:miRNA
AGAGGAGCUGGACAAGUACCGGGCCCAGCAGAUUGAGGAGAGCACCACAGUGGUCACCACACAGUCCGCUGAGGUUAGAGCAGCUGAGAUGAC